rnacentral:rRNA from 1 species
GAUGAACGCUAGCGGCAGGCCUAACACAUGCAAGUCGAGGGGCAUCGCGGUGCAGCAAUGCACUGGCGGCGACCGGCGUACGGGUGCGUAACGCGUAUGCAACCUGCCCCGCACCGGGGGAUAGCCCGCCGAAAGGCGGAUUAAUACCCCAUGGUCCCGGGGGCCCGCAUGGGCAUCCGGGUAAAGCCUUGGCGGUGCGGGAUGGGCAUGCGUGCCAUUAGCUGGCUGGUGGGGUAACGGCCCACCAGGGCAACGAUGGCUAGGGGGUCUGAGAGGAUGGUCCCCCACACUGGUACUGAGACACGGACCAGACUCCUACGGGAGGCAGCAGUGAGGAAUAUUGGUCAAUGGGCGAAGCCUGAACCAGCCAUGCCGCGUGCGGGAUGAAGGCCCUACGGGUUGUAAACCGCUUUUCCCCGGGAAGAAUAACCCCGAUGAGUCGGGGAUGCCGGUACCGGGGGAAUAAGGAUCGGCUAACUCCGUG